CAAAAUGACAAAGCAUCCGUAGGACUCCAAGUUAAAUGGAGAGUAAUACCCAGGGGGCAUCUAACUAUAUGGAACCCCUUGGGUUUACUUAUGCUUGCUUUUGGGUUUAACCACUUUAUCUAUUUUAGUUUUAGUAUGAACUAAAAAAAUAUAUUAAUUCGUAUUGCUAACUUUGUGUUUUUAUAUGAACUAAAAAAUUAUUGUGAUGUCUCGAGUUUGCUGCAUUGGUCCGAGUUUGCUGCCAUGAUCCGGGGUUGCUGUCAUGCUCCGGGAUUACUCUCAGGUCCCGAGCCUUGUGUUACUAAAGGCCCAUCACAAUGGCCCUGUGCUGUUUUACUUGAAGUUAAUCAUAUUGUACUUUUGCCUUUUGUACUUUGAAUAUUUCAUUGUUGUUGAUAUCAUUACAGCUAUAAAUCUCUAUCACAUAUGGUCAUUCUUUCGAUUUAGACACAUCUUUCAUAUAUUGUUUUAUUUGUUUCGUUUUGCAGGUUUGGUGGCAUGUCCAUUUGUCAUCAGAUUAUUCAUAAACAUCACCAAUUAGGAAUAUCUUAGUGAAUCACCAUGUACAACCAAACAAUUGAGAAAAAUCACUUUUAAAGGUUCGCUUUGAUAUUCGCUGAUGUGCUAAAAGCUGUUAAACAUUACAAUUUAUUCCAGAUUACUGUUGAUUGAAGAUGCUUGGAGUAAUGUCAUGCAUACAAAAUAUAAUAGUGAAGACAAUGAGGAGGGCAAGAAUUUGG